AUGGAAGGCCUGCCACACUGGGACUUUUCUCCUGGUUUGUCCCUAGCCGAUCAGGUGAGAAGAAAAUUUGGUUCUAUGGUGCACUUUUCUCCUUCUCGUGACACCAAGGAGUUUUUCUUGGUGGUCUCCUUCUCGUCGGCCUCUUUCCCUCUCUCGGUGGAAUCAGUGGGCAUUGCUCUCCAAUGUUGCAUUGGA
rnacentral:rRNA from 1 species